UGGCACCCAGCACGGGGGCUUCUGGCAUGGGGGAGUCAAUGAGGGAGGCGUUCGAGAAUGCUGGCUAAAAGUGGAAACAGAUUGAAUCAAGGACCAAGGCUAAAAGUGAAAGCAAAUUGAAUCAAGGACUGAUGCCUGCAUGGACGACCGCCCGACGUGCUGCCCGAGUCACGGUAAGUGAAUGGCACCCCCAUUCCCUUUCCCGGACAUGGGUCAAGCAUUGAGCGAACAUGAAUUGUUCAUGGGAAGCCUUAGCAAGGCAUUAAAGACAAGAGGGGUAAGGGUUAGAACAAAAGAAUUGUUGCAGUAUUUUCAAUUUAUUCAUAAAGUUUG
rfam:Cavia porcellus supercont2_42 genomic scaffold, whole genome shotgun sequence.